UGGGGAAUAUUGGGCAAUGGGCGAAAGCCUGACCCAGCAACGCCGCGUGAAGGACGAAGGCCUUCGGGUUGUAAACUUCUUUUAAGAGGGACGAAGAAAGUGACGGUACCUCUUGAAUAAGCCACGGCUAACUCCGGUCCAGCCGCCGCGGUAAUACGGAGGAUGCGAGCGUUAUCCGGAUUUAUUGGGUUUAAAGGGUGCGCAGGCGGAAAGUGCAAGUCAGCGGUCAAACGACGGGGCUCAACCCCGUCUCGCCGUUGAAACUGUCUUUCUAGAGUGAGCGAGAAGUAUGCGGAAUGCGUGGUGUAGCGGUGAAAUGCAUAGAUAUCACGCAGAACUCCGAUUGCGAAGGCAGCAUACCGGCGCUCAACUGACGCUCAUGCACGAAAGCGUGGGUAUCGAACAGG
rnacentral:rRNA from 1 species